CCUACGGGAGGCAGCAGUGAGGAAUAUUGGUCAAUGGACGAGAGUCUGAACCAGCCAAGUAGCGUGAAGGAUGACUGCCCUAUGGGUUGUAAACUUCUUUUAUAUGGGAAUAAAAUGUUCCACGUGUGGGAUUUUGUAUGUACCAUAUGAAUAAGGAUCGGCUAACUCCGUGCCAGCAGCCGCGUUAAUACGGAGGAUCCGAGCGUUAUCCGGCUUUAUUGGGUUUAAAGGGAGCGUAGGUGGAUUGUUAAGUCAGUUGUGAAAGUUUGCGGCUCAACCGUAAAAUUGCAGUUGAAACUGGCAGUCUUGAGUACAGUAGAGGUGGGCGGAAUUCGUGGUGUAGCGGUGAAAUGCUUAGAUAUCACGAAGAACUCCGAUUGCGAAGGCAGUUCACUGGACUGCAACUGACACUGAGGCUCGAAAGUGUGGGUAUCAAACAGGAUUAGAUACCCCUGUAGUC
rnacentral:rRNA from 1 species